GUUACAUUGGGAGGAAUUAGGGGUUAGGGCUUCAACAUAUAAAUUUUGGGAAGACACAAUUUAGCUCAUAACAUUCAGGUCAUAAUGGCAAUCUAGGAAGGUGGAGUUCUAAAGCUCAGUCAUUGGCUGGAAGCUGGUGUGCUCAUCUUAUUAGAAUUUGUAGCCCAGGAAGGCCAAGGUCAACGAUUUCAAGUCUCCUCUUUGGAUUGGCAGGAAGUGGGAUUGCUUGAUGCUCACAGAUAUAAGGACCAUUUACGGAAGGUUUACCACACACCAGGCACAGUGCUCAGAGCCUCAUGAGUCUCUCACUUAAUCCUCAUGACAGCCCUGCCAGCUUUGUAGGAUGGCCAUAUUUGGCUGAAAAGCCUGACAAAUGAGAACAAAUGUUUGCAAAUAUUGCUGGUAAGCAGUUUCUGUGUAAAGUUGUUUCAUUUUAACAAUUUGUGGGGGUGGAGUGGGAGGGGUUCUCUUUAGUGAAGUGGAGCAGAGCUGAGUGCUUAUGAGGGGAGGUAAGAGGAAUGGAGAGAAGAGAAGAAAGGAGAGCAUGUCCAACAUUCUAACUUUUUAGAAGUAAAGAGUAAAAUUAGAUACAAAAUUUUAUGGAGAUUCCCUUUUAGUGAACCCUUGAGUUAGGAACAAAAGUGAACAUUUAAGUUAGAAACACUCCCACCCUCAAAAUACAUCUGACUGAUAUUAAAUAUAUAUUAUAUAUAAAGCUAAAAAUAAUAUUUUGCAGUUAGUUAUGUCAUCCUUAUAAUAAACCUACGAAAUGGGCAAAAAUACCACUACUAGGUGUUCUAAGCAUUGCUCCAAGCACUUUACAUGCAGAGCUCAUUUAAUCUUUAUAAUAAGACUACUAGAUGGAUACUAAUAUUAAGUUCAUUCCAUAGAUAGGGAAACUGAAGCUUCAAUAGGUAUCCCAAGCAUCUGACUUCAAGUCCAAUUUAUUUCUCACUGUAUCGCAGAGACCUCUGCUUGAUAGUCUGAUAUGGAGGUUAUUCAGGUUAUUAAUUGAUCUUUGAGACACUUUUGUUCUCAUUUUUCUAUAGGCAAUUUAAAACUAUUGAGGGCAAAUAUUCUGAACUUAUAGUCACACCAGCUAGUUGUUGGCACUCUCAAAUUUGCCUUGUCAAUACUCAUUUCACCUGUGUCUCACUUUAGGUCACUGUCUGGUUAGAAAAGAGCUCAAAUCUCCAGAUUCCUUGUUCUCAUAUCUUUUCUGGAAAUCAGUUUUUGUUUUUGUUUUUCCUCAAAACUUAUACGGUUAAGUAAAAGCAUGCAAAGCAGAAAUCCCUUCCAGGUACUGAGAAAUCAAAGCGUCAUACAAAACAUUCCUAAAUCCUUGACUAGCUUUUUAUCAAC
rnacentral:lncRNA from 1 species